CGGCGAAUGGGUGAGUAACACGUGCUUAAUCUACCCUUUAGAUUGGAAUACCCAAUGGAAACAUUGGCUAAUGCCGGAUACGCAUGGAAUCGCAUGAUUCCGUUGUGAAAGGAGCCUUUAAAGCUCCGCUAGAGGAUGAGGGUGCGGAACAUUAGUUAGUUGGUAGGGUAAUGGCCUACCAAGACUAUGAUGUUUAGCCGGGUCGAGAGACUGAACGGCCACAUUGGGACUGAGAUACGGCCCAAACUCCUACGGGAGGCAGCAGUAGGGAAUAUUCCACAAUGAGCGAAAGCUUGAUGGAGCGACACAGCGUGCACGAUGAAGGUCUUCGGAUUGUAAAGUGCUGUUAUAGGGAAAGAACACCUGGUUGAGGAAAUGCUUCCAGGCUGACGGUACCCUGUCAGAAAGCGAUGGCUAACUAUGUGCCAGCAGCCGCGGUAAUACAUAGGUCGCAAGCGUUAUCCGGAAUUAUUGGGCGUAAAGCGUUCGUAGGCUGUUUAUUAAGUCUGGAGUCAAAUCCCAGGGCUCAACCCUGGCUCGCUUUGGAUACUGGUAAACUAGAGUUAGAUAGAGGUAAGCGGAAUUCCAUGUGAAGCGGUGAAAUGCGUAGAUAUAUGGAAGAACACCAAAGGCGAAGGCAGCUUACUGGGUCUAUACUGACGCUGAGGGACGAAAGCGUGGGGAGCAAACAGGAUUAGAUACCCUGGUAGUACACGCCGUAAACGAUGAUCAUUAGUCGGUGGAGAGUUCACUGACGCAGCUAACGCAUUAAAUGAUCCGCCUGAGUAGUAUGCUCGCAAGAGUGAAACUUAAAGGAAUUGACGGGGACCCGCACAAGCGGUGGAGCAUGUGGUUUAAUUUGAAGAUACGCGGAGAACCUUACCCACUCUUGACAUCCUUCGCAAUGCUAUAGAGAUAUAGCGGAGGUUAACGGAGUGACAGAUGGUGCAUGGUUGUCGUCAGCUCGUGUCGUGAGAUGUUUGGUCAAGUCCUGCAACGAGCGCAACCCCUAUCUUUAGUUACUAACGAGUCAUGUCGAGGACUCUAGAGAUACUGCCUGGGUAACUGGGAGGAAGGUGGGGAUGACGUCAAAUCAUCAUGCCUCUUACGAGUGGGGCAACACACGUGCUACAAUGGUCGGUACAAAGAGAAGCAAUAUGGCGACAUGGAGCAAAUCUCAAAAAGCCGAUCUCAGUUCGGAUUGGAGUCUGCAAUUCGACUCCAUGAAGUCGGAAUCGCUAGUAAUCGCAGAUCAGCUACGCUGCGGUGAAUACGUUCUCGGGUCUUGUACACACCGCCCGUCACACCAUGGGAGCUGGUAAUACCCAAAGUCGGUUAGCUAACCUCGGAGGCGACCGCCUAAGGUAGGACUGGUGACUGGGGUGAAGUCGUAACAAGGUAUCCCUACGAGAACGUGGGGAUG
rnacentral:rRNA from 1 species